AAUCUAAAGAGAAACACAACUCUCAGCAACGGAUAUCUUGGCUCUUGCAACGAUGAAGAACGCAGCGAAAUGCGAUACGUAGUGUGAAUUGCAGAAUUCCGCGAAUCAUCGAGUCUUUGAACGCAAGUUGCGCCCGAGGCUUGUCCGAGGGCAUUUCCGCUAGAGCGUCACC
rnacentral:rRNA from 1 species